rnacentral:rRNA from 1 species
GAUGAACGCUGGCGGCGUGCCUAAUACAUGCAAGUCGAGCGAAUGGAUUAAGAGCUUGCUCUUAUGAAGUUAGCGGCGGACGGGUGAGUAACACGUGGGUAACCUGCCCAUAAGACUGGGAUAACUCCGGGAAACCGGGGCUAAUACCGGAUAACAUUUUGAACCGCAUGGUUCGAAAUUGAAAGGCGGCUUCGGCUGUAACUUAUGGAUGGACCCGCGUCGCAUUAGUUAGUUGGGGAGGUAACGGCUCACCAAGGCAACGAUGCGUAGCCGACCUAGGGUGGGUAUCGGCCACACUGGGACUGAGACACGGCCCAGACUCCUACGGGAGGCAGCAGUAGGGAAUCUUCCGCAAUGGACGAAAGUCUGACGGAGCAACGCCGCGUGAGUGAUGAAGGCUUUCGGGUCGUAAAACUCUGUUGUUAGGGAAGAACAAGUGCUAGUUGAAUAAGCUGGCACCUUGACGGUACCUAACCAGAAAGCCACGGCUAACUACGUGCCAGCCGCCGCCGUAA